rnacentral:misc_RNA from 1 species
GAAGACUCGGAUCUAUGAAUUAAACAAUUAGAAUAGAAAGUUAAAAUAGGAAGAAAAGGAGGACAUUUUCGAUUACUUACCUGUGGACACAUCUUGCAUUGGUACUUUCUCGGCGGAUGAGAGUGUGGUCCACCUAAAUGGGGGUUCAGAUGCGACGGAUGAGAUGGUUUUACGGUCAAAGGUUGAGGAACCACCAGCAGACUCGCUGGAGGACUUCCGCUGCUGGAUCCCCCGGCGCCUCGAUAUUGUUCGUCACCUCAAAAUUAAUCGAACCUAGAGCAUCAUAGAAAUCUUCUUAGCUUGCUCUAUUACGAAUAAAUACAUUGUACGUCAUAUAAAAAUAUAAAUAUAAAUUCGACAGGAAAUUCCAAUUCCCUAUGCCACGAAUACAUGAAAAAUUCACAGCUUGCAAUACUAGAAACUGGCAACUUUGACGAGAAACAUGUUACACGUCGCGAGGAAAAUAAUAUUUCUCCCCAGGUAGUUCUCAUCGUCCGUAUACUAUCCGUUUGAGAAACAAAUUAACAGAGAGAAC